AUUGAACGCUGGCGGCAGGCCUAACACAUGCAAGUCGAACGAGUGGCGGACGGGUGAGUAAUGUCUGGGAAACUGCCUGAUGGAGGGGGAUAACUACUGGAAACGGUAGCUAAUACCGAAUACCAUCGGAAGUGCCCAGAGGGGAUUAGCUAGUAGGGGGGGUAAAGGCUCACCUAGGCGACGAUCCCUAGCUGGUCUGAGAGGAUGACGAGCCAAACUGGGACUGAGACACGGUCCAGAGUCCUACGGGAGGCAGCAGUGGGGAAUAUUGCACAAUGGGCGCAAGCCGGAUGCAGCCAUGCCGCGUGGAUGAAGAAGGCCUUCGGGUUGUAAAGUACUUUCAGCGGGGAGGCGUUACCCGCAGAAGAAGCACCGGCUAACUCCGUGCCAGCAGCCGCGGUAAUUC
rnacentral:rRNA from 1 species